CUACGGGGCGCUGCAGUGUGGAAUAUUGCACAAUGGGCGAAAGCCUGAUGCAGCCAUGCCGCGUGGGGGAUGAAGGCCUUCGGGUCGUAAACCCCUUUUCUGAGGGAAGAACAACCGGGCGAGGAAAUGCGCUUGGUCUGACGGUACCUCAGGAAUAAGCAACGGCCAACUCCGUGCCAGCAGCCGCGGUAAUACGGAGGUUGCGAGCGUUGUUCGGAAUGACUGGGCGUAAAGGGAGCGCAGGCGGCUAGGUCAGUCUGAAGUGAAAGCCCGGGGCUCAACCCCGGAAGUGCUUUGGAUACUGCCUAACUUGAGUGUGUCAGAGGAAAGCGGAAUUCCAGGUGUAGCGGUGAUAUGCGUAGAUAUCUGGAGGAACAUCGGUGGCGAAAGCGGCUUUCUGGGACAUUACUGACGCUGAGGCUCGAAAGCGUGGGGAGCGAACGGGAUUAGAUACCCUUGUAGUC
rnacentral:rRNA from 1 species